rnacentral:tRNA from 1 species
GUCUCGUUAGCUCAGUUGGCAGAGCACCUGGCUUUUAACCAGGGUGUCGAAGGUUCGAGCCCUUCACGAGGCA